rnacentral:rRNA from 1 species
UACGAAGGGGGGCUAGCGUUGUUCGGAUUUACUGGGCGUAAAGCGCACGUAGGCGGAUCGUUAAGUCGGGGGUGAAAUCCUGGAGCUCAACUCCAGAACUGCCUUCGAUACUGGCGAUCUAGAGUCCGGAAGAGGUGAGUGGAAUUCCUAGUGUAGAGGUGAAAUUCGUAGAUAUUCGGAAGAACACCAGUGGCGAAGGCGACACACUGGCCCAUUACUGACGCUGAGGCUCGAAAGCGUGGGGAGCAAACAGGG